UCGUCACAGCUCAUUUUUGCGACAGGUGUAACAGCUAUGUAAUAAAAUUCCUUGCGGCGGUGAAACGAGACGGGUUCACCACGAAAAAUGUUGAGACUGCUUUCUGACUAGACGCCAACCUUAUUAUUAUGCUGAUGUCGUCAUUUCAUUUUUCGAGCAUUUCGUGGAAAUAUCAUGCUAUUAAGUGACCGACAAAGAACUUGUCCCGACUACCAGUUGACAUGAAUAAUUCAAGUCGAAAGAAACCUUUGGGAUUGACGGAAUGAAAAUAUGGACAAACAAAAUUAGACCAGAAAGAAACAAAACAAAAACAAAACA